rnacentral:rRNA from 1 species
UACGAAGGGUGCAAACGUUGCUCGGAAUCCUUGGGCGUAAAGCGCACGUAGGCGGCCUCAUAAGUCGGAUGUGAAAUCCCUCGGCUCAACCGAGGACGUGCAUCCGAAACUGUGAAGCUCGAGUAUGGAAGAGGGUCGCGGAAUUCCCGGUGUAGAGGUGAAAUUCGUAGAUAUCGGGAGGAAUACCAGUGGCGAAGGCGGCGACCUGGGCCAAUACUGACGCUGAGGUGCGAAAGCGUGGGGAGCAAACAGG